rnacentral:snRNA from 1 species
GUGCGCACUUCAGCAGCACAUAUACUAAAAUUGGAACGAUACAGAGAAGACUAACAUGGUCCCGGCACAAGGAUGGCAUGCAAAUUCAUGAAGCGUUCCAUAUUUUU